rnacentral:rRNA from 1 species
ACAUCCAGAGAAUUUAGCAGAGAUGCUUUAGUGCCUUCGGGAACUCUGAGACAGGUGCUGCAUGGCUGUCGUCAGCUCGUGUUGUGAAAUGUUGGGUUAAGUCCCGNAACGAGCGCAACCCCUAUCCUUUGUUGCCAGCGAUUCGGUCGGGAACUCAAAGGAGACUGCCGGUGAUAAACCGGAGGAAGGUGGGGAUGACGUCAAGUCAUCAUGGCCCUUACGAGUAGGGCUACACACGUGCUACAAUGGCGCAUACAAAGAGAAGCGACCUCGCGGGAGCAAGCGGACCUCAUAAAGUGCGUCGUAGUCCGGAUUGGAGUCUGCAACUCGACUCCAUGAAGUCGGAAUCGCUAGUAAUCGUAGAUCAGAAUGCUACGGUGAAUACGUUCCCGGGCCUUGUACACACCGCCCGUCACACCAUGGGAGUGGGUUGCAAAAGAAGUAGAUAGCUUAACCUUCGGGAGGGCGUUUACCACUUUGUGAUUCAUGACUGGGGUGAAGUCGUAACAAGGUAAGCGUAGCGAG